rnacentral:rRNA from 1 species
UAGGGAAUCUUGGGCAAUGGGCGAAAGCCUGACCCAGCCACGCCGCGUGGAGGAUGACACCCCUAGCGGGCGUAAACUCCUUUUGUACGGGAAGAAGGCCUCCCCCGGGGAGGAUUGACGGUACCGUACGAAUAAGCACCGGCUAACUCCGUGCCAGCAGCCGCGGUAAUACGGAGGGUGCAAGCGUUGUCCGGAUUCACUGGGUGUAAAGGGUGUGUAGGCGGGACGGUAUGUCAGAGGUGAAAGCCCACGGCUUAACCGUGGAACUGCCUUUGAAACUGCCGUUCUUGAGUCUCGGAGAGGUCGCUGGAAUUCGUGGUGUAGCGGUGAAAUGCGUAGAUAUCACGAGGAACACCGGAGGCGUAGGCGGGUGACUGGACGAGAACUGACGCUGAGGCACGAAAGCGUGGGGAGCAAACAGG